GGCCUGCAUCUUCUUUGAGUCGUGACGCAGUGCUGACACGGAUUUUGCUUUUAACAGUAAAAACAAAUACACACCUAGUAUAAGUUAACUGAAAAACAGAAGAACAACACAGACUGCAGACCAACAAUGCACGUGAAAUUGUCACUUUAUUUCCUUUUUUGGAGGACCAAUUUUCUUAGAAUGGGAGCAUUUCUAUGAUGCACUGAGUGGCUAAGGCUAAACCAGGCUUGGUGUUUAAAGACUGUACAGACUAGAACCUGGUGAUGUUAAGAUUUAACAGAUAACA